rnacentral:rRNA from 1 species
CCGGACUCCUACGGGAGGCAGCAGUGGGGGAUAUUGCACAAUGGGGGAAACCCUGAUGCAGCGACGCCGCGUGAGUGAAGAAGUAUAUCGGUAUGUAAAGCUCUAUCAGCAGGGAAGAAAAUGACAGUACCUGUCCAAGAAGCCCCGGCUAACUACGUGCCAGCAGCCGCGGUAAUACGUAGGGGGCAAGCGUUAUCCGGAUUUACUGGGUGUAAAGGGAGCGUAGACGGUUAUGUAAGUCUGGAGUGAAAGCCCGGGGCGCAACCCCGGGACUGCUUUGGAAACUGUGUAACUGGAGUACAGGAGGGGCAGGCGGAAUUCCUGGUGUAGCGGUGAAAUGCGUAGAUAUCAGGAGGAACACCGGCGGCGAAGGCGGCUUACUGGACUGUAACUGACGUUGAGGCUCGAAAGCGUGGGGAGCAAACAGGAUUAGAUACCCGAGUAAA